AGCGAACGCUGGCGGCAGGCCUAACACAUGCAAGUCGAACGAACUCUUCGGAGUUAGUGCGGACGGGUGAGUAACACGUGGGAACGUGCCUUUUGGUUCGGAAUAACUCAGGGAAACUUGUGCUAAUACCGAAUGUGCCCUUCGGGGGAAAGAUUUAUCGCCAUUAGAGCGGCCCGCGUCUGAUUAGCUAGUUGGUGAGGUAACGGCUCACCAAGGCGACGAUCAGUAGCUGGUCUGAGAGGAUGACCAGCCACACUGGGACUGAGACACGGCCCAGACUCCUACGGGAGGCAGCAGUGGGGAAUCUUGCGCAAUGGGCGAAAGCCUGACGCAGCCAUGCCGCGUGAAUGAUGAAGGUCUUAGGAUUGUAAAAUUCUUUCACCGGGGACGAUAAUGACGGUACCCGGAGAAGAAGCCCCGGCUAACUUCGUG
rnacentral:rRNA from 1 species